AAAUCCAAGAAUCAGAAGGUUGAUUCUUACCAGAUGAUAUAGAGAGCACAUCUCCAUCAUCUCCAUCUGAACUGUUAGCCACACUAGCUUCCUCAGAUGUCUUAUCUACACCUUUCUUCUUCAAGUCUGCCUUUCUCUUCAAGCACUGUCUCUUCAGAUGAUCUUCCUUCUUGCAAUAGUAACAAGAGACAUUUGUUUUUGCCCCUUUUGAUUUCGAUUGACUUUUCCCAGAUCCCUUCCAAUUUGAUCUCCCUUUUUCCUGCUCCUUGUCACCUCCGAAAGACCUUCUCCUCGAGAUUUCAUACUACUGGUCUUCUUCCUUGUAUCAUUGGACAUUAGGGCAGCUGCGACUUCAUUCAUCUCAAGAGUCUCCUUCCCGUACAAGAGAGUCGUUACUAAGUGAUCAUAUGAUUCUGGGAGCAAAACAACAAUAGUAAUGCCUUGUCUUCAUCCUUGAUCUUAACCUCCAGAUUUAUAAGUUUACUUACGAUUUGAUUGAACAUGUUAAGAUGUUCUAAUAGAUCCAUACCUUGCUCCAUCUAUAGAGAAUACAAUUGCUUCUUCACAAAUAACUUGUUCGUUAAGGACUUCGUCAUGUAGAUGCUUCCAAGUUUUUCCCAUAACUGCGGAGCAGAUUCGAUACCCACAACAUAUUGUAGGGCAUCAUCAGAAAGAUUCAAUAAAAUAGCACUUAUUGCCUUUUCCUCCAUCUCUUCCCAAUAUUCAUCAGUAAUUUUUGUAAUUUUCUUCGACUUUCUCAACGACGUUUUCGUCAAACCCUGUUGUAUCAGAAGAUCCUUCAUCCUUUGACGCCAGAUGAUGAAAUUGUUCUUCCCAUUGAAUCGUUUAAUAUCAUACUUGACAUUUGAUCUCUUCCCUGCCAUCGUGAUAGUAAACCCUAGAAACGAAAACCUAGAGCUCUGAUACGAAUUUGUAGAAACGCAACCCUAAGAUGAUGUAGAAGAUAAUGAAAAAACAGAACAAAAAAUGCACACAGAUUUACAAGGCUUAGCAAGGUUUCCUAUGUCCCCGGUGAGAUGAGAUCCUACUUCACUAUCAAUGGAGAAUAAGGUUACAGCGAUCGUCCCUCACACCUGUCGAGGUGCUGCACUAUUACUCCCUAGAUUAAACUCUGACGGAAUACAAGACAUCAUACACCAACAAGAAUGAGGAACCCUUCUCAACCUUUUGAUUUUUUUUCUCCACGUGUCAGGCAUAUAGGCCUACAGGGGAUGGCCUCUAUGGAGAGGAUCUGGAUCCUUAAAAAAACUGUUAGAAAAAAGUCUAGGGAAAUUUUGUCCAAUAUAACUGAUCUAUGUCAAUCAAGGUUCUAAAACUUAGGUUCGGUCUUAGGAUCGGUCAAGGCCAAUAGCCCAACACCCAUCCCAAUCAGCUUGGAUCAAACAAUAUCUGACAGGAUUACCUUUCUAAAAAUAACGAUUUUACCCUUGGGCCAUCCCCAUGGAUGGGGAUUGGAGACCGAUCAAGACCGAACUAAUCCGAUUCAGCCGAUAUUGACUGAUCCAAUCCAAGUUUUAGAAUCAUGAUGCCAAUAUCGUAUUGGUAUGGUAUCAUUUUUUAAAGUGAUCGAUACCUGAUUUAAUAUCGAUAUCAUGCACUAAAACUAUGCUUUGUGAGUGUGAGAUUUGAAAUUGACACUUGUCCAAUAUCCCAAUCCAACAACUCGCGUGAGCGAGUGGCACAUGUUUUCUUGUUUUACAAUUAUCCUAAGGUUUGCCAAAAAAAAAAAAAAUUCCUAAGAUAUUGAUUUGUUUUUUUCAAUCGCCUUCCUAACUAGAGAGUCAGUAACGCUAUUAAUUUCUCUAUAGAUGUGGGAGAAAUUAUAUUCCACAAAGUACGAGGAUAUGUGAUGAAUGUCAUGGAUGACAAGGGGCACAUCAAGGGGUGGGUGUUUAGAAGGAUCCCUUAUAAGAAGAAUAAGCUCUAGGUUAUUGACUCCACACUAACCAAUGGGGUUGGUAGCCUAGUGGUGAAAAUGCCUUCAACCCAUCACCGCUUGAGUCAACUGGUUGUAGGUUCGAGUCUUGGCAUACCCACUAUCGUCCAUUGGUCCUACGGAAGCGCUGCUUGCCGUACGGGGGCUAUGAUCACUUCCAUGGAGCACCCUUUUAUUGUUACCAAAAAAAAAAAAAAAUCUGACUCCACACUAAUCAUGUCAUAGCAUUUACCAAUGGAAUUGAGGAACAGGGGGUUUUUGAACCAAACAACACGCACAAAGAGGAAACCAAGGAGGAUGUGAUCGGCUAUUUCCAAUUGGGCUCCACUUUGCAGGAAGUAAAAAAUGGCCAAAUACCCCUGGAUGACCCAAUUUUCAAAAAAUUUAUUGUAAGAACAGGAUACAGGUCAAAAUGACCAAAAUACCUCUGGAUUUUCAAAGAAUCCAUUGCAUGUCCAAGGUUUAGGUUUAAUAUGACUAAAAUACCCUUACUUAGGUUAAGAAAUACAUAGGAUGGCUAGUUUGACCAGAACAACCUCCAUUUAGGUCAUAAGUGGCCCUGCAUGGCCACAUUGACCAAACUAAUCGAGGUAUGUUGUCUACUAACACUUUGCAGGAACCAAGCAUCAGUGCAUUGAAAGUCUCCACUCGACAACCACCAGCUCAAAUUAAAUUUAUAGGAUGUGGGUGAGGCCUACACUUUCAAUCAGAGGAGAAUUGGGCUCUACAUAACCAAAUCAUGCACAAUCUCAUGGCACCCGACAUUAGCAUGCUAUAUAUUGACAAAUCAAAUCUAGGUACUCUCGAAUGGUACAAGAACGGCGUGAACAAGGAUUUUUGGAUACACCAAGGGUGUAAUCAAAUAAGAUUUCUUCUUUGUGAAUCCCAAACUUUUCUGAGCUGAAAAUGGACUCAACCCCUAUACCACUAGAUAGUGCUUGGAAAGA